rnacentral:lncRNA from 1 species
UAUAACUUAUGCAUUUGCUCCAUUUGCUACGCCCAUGCAUGUGAUGUUUGCCACACGCUAUUUUGAUGUGGCUAAAGAACUUCUGAAUAAUUCUGUACAUAAUAUGUAUUGCUUCCAUCACAGUGGUGUUUGUCUCUGUUGUGGCUUUGCUUGUGAGGUGCAGUAUUUGUUUCUGUUUGUAGGCUGAAACUCUCGCUUUCUCACAGGCCUCGGUUAACUGC